CUGCUCAGUAACACGUAGUUAACCUAACCUAUGGACGGGGAUAACCUCGGGAAACUGAGAAUAAUCCCCGAUAGAUCACGGUGCCUGGAAUGGCCCGUGGUCCAAAUGAUUUAUCGCCGUAGGAUGGGACUGCGGCCUAUCAGCUAGUUGGUGAGGUAAUGGCCCACCAAGGCUAUAACAGGUACGGGCUCUGAGAGGAGGGGCCCGGAGAUGGGUACUGAGACACGGACCCAGGCCCUAUGGGGCGCAGCAGGCGAGAAACCUUUGCAAUGUGCGAAAGCACGACAAGGUUAAUCCGAGUGUCUCCUGCUAAAGGAGUCUUUUGCCGGUCAUAGAACCACCGGUGAAUAAGGGGUGGGCAAGUUCUGGUGUCAGCCGCCGCGGUAAAACCAGCACCUCGAGUGGUCAGGAGGUUUAUUGGGCCUAAAGCAUCCGUAGCCGGCUGCUCAAGUUUUCGGUUAAAUCUAUGCGCUCAACGUAUAGGCCGCCGAAAAUACUGGGCAGCUAGGGAGUGGGAGAGGUACACGGUACUCAAUAGGAAGGGGUAAAAUCCUUUGAUCUAUUGAUGACCACCUGUGGCGAAGGCGGUGUACCAGAACACGUUCGACGGUGAGGGAUGAAAGCUGGGGGAGCAAACCGGAUUAGAUACCCGGGUAGUCCCAGCUGUAAACGAUGCAGACUCGGUGAUGCAUUGGCUUGUGGCCAAUGCAGUGCCGCAGGGAAGCCGUUAAGUCUGCCGCCUGGGAAGUACGUACGCAAGUAUGAAACUUAAAGGAGUUGGCGGGGGAGCACCACAAGGGGUGAAGCCUGCGGUUCAAUUGGAGUCAACGCCAGAAAUCUUACCUGGGGCGACAGCAGAAUGAA
rnacentral:rRNA from 1 species